ACGGGAGGCAGCAGUCGGGAAUAUUGCGCAAUGGAGGAAACUCUGACGCAGUGACGCCGCGUGCAGGAUGAAGGUUUUCGGAUUGUAAACUGCUUUAGAUAGGGAAGAAAAAAAUGACGGUACCUAUAGAAUAAGCUCCGGCUAACUACGUGCCAGCAGCCGCGGUAAUACGUAGGGAGCAAGCGUUAUCCGGAUUUAUUGGGUGUAAAGGGUGCGUAGACGGAUUAGCAAGUUAGUUGUGAAAUCCCUCGGCUUAACUGAGGAACUGCAACUAAAACUACUAGUCUUGAGUGCUGGAGGGGAGAAUGGAAUUCCUAGUGUAGCGGUGAAAUGCGUAGAUAUUAGGAAGAACACCGGUGGCGAAGGCGAUUCUCUGGACAGUAACUGACGUUGAGGCACGAAAGUGUGGGGAGCAAACAGGAUUAGAUACCCUGGUA
rnacentral:rRNA from 2 species